rnacentral:piRNA from 2 species
UGGUUUCCAAAGAGUAUUAGACUCAGCUGU